rnacentral:rRNA from 1 species
GGAUUGGAUGAAAUAUAAACUGUCUCUUAAUUAUAUUUAGAAUUUAAUUUUUUAAUUAAAAAGUUAAAAUGAAUUAAAAAGACGAGAAGACCCUAUAGAGUUUUAUAAUUAAAUUAAUUGAGAUUUUUUGUAAGAUUAAAAUUAAAAUUAAUUUAUUUAUUUUGUUGGGGUGACAGAAAAAUAUGGAGAACUUUUUUUAUAAUAUUACAUAAAUAAGUGGUUAAAUGAUCCAAUAUUAUUGAUUAUAAGAAAAAAUUACCUUAGGGAUAACAGCGUAAUUUUUUUUUUUAGUUCAUAUAAAAAAAAAAGUUUGCGACCUCGAUGUUGGAUUAAGAUAAAAUUUAAAUGCAGAAG